ACCAGAGUGGCGGAAUUGGCAGACGCGCUGCGUUCAGGUCGCAGUGGCCGCAAGGCCGUAAGGGUUCAACUCCCUUCUCUGGUACCA
rnacentral:tRNA from 1 species